GCCUGGACCACCACCUCCACCCCGCCCAGUGCCUCCUGAAUCAAAUGGGUUGGGGGAGGCAGCUGUGUUUACUCUCAAGGAAUGUAAUUCUCGAUUAUUCUGAAAAAGUCCGAAGCAUUUGGUCAACAGACAGAGAUAGGACAGAACCAAGGGUGAGCUUUGGGGAGCAGUUACACAGGCCUUGCUGCAGGGUGACAACUGAAGAGAAGCUGUGUGAAGUGGCACAUUGCCUGCCCAGGGCAAGUCGCCGCAGUGGCUGCCCUCCAU
rnacentral:lncRNA from 1 species